UUAAUUGGUCUAGGACGGGACCUGGACUUAGGUAAUUUAUAAAAUCUCCCCAAGUGAUUCCACUUUGCAGGCAGGGUUGAGAAAUCCGAGAUGAUUGCAAAUUCCGUCUUUUGUAUCCCUCCUCCAAAGGACUUGUUUCUUGGGAUUUUCUUCUCUUCUGGUCCCGCCAGAACACUGAGCUUCAUGAAGAUGAAAGUAAACUCUACUCAGACCCCAAGACCAAAUGCCACCUCCUCCAGGAAGCCUUCGCUGACCACUACAGCCGCAGUACCGCUUUCUCCAUUCAACGAAGACUGUCCGGACAAAGUCCUUGGGGAUUGUGUCUCAUACUUUUUUCAAAUGAAUAUUAGGGGGUGUGGUCUAUCCACUACAGAGUUCCAGCUAUGGAGACUUACAACAGUGAAUGGUUGUCUUCAGAAGGGCACUUACUAAAAAUAAUACCCA
rnacentral:lncRNA from 1 species